ACAUAUUCUUGUCUUAGUUUGCUGUCUAUUACAAAUCAUGCAUUUAACAGUUUUAUCAUUUCCUUCUUCUUCUUCCUCCUCUUCUUCCCACAUGAGUUGCAACACUUGUUAAUUGAAAACAAUAGUACUAUAGCAGAGUUUUUAUUAUUCAUGCUAACUAGGAAUACCUAUAUACUUGUGGUUUCACAUAUAUCUAAUUUGUUCACUUUCUUUACCUGGGUAUGUAUCAUUUUGGUGUAUCGUUUAUUAAAAGUGUUUGCUGAGAUUGUUAGUUAUAUUAGUUUUCGGGUUUUCGAUGUUAAGUCCUUUCUUCUUUUUAAUGUAUAUAUAAAUCAUUGUAUUCAUCUUUCAGGAACAUCAAUAAGAAG
rnacentral:lncRNA from 1 species